rnacentral:rRNA from 2 species
UGGGGAAUAUUGGGCAAUGGGCGAAAGCCUGACCCAGCAACGCCGCGUGAUUGAAGAAGGUCUUCGGAUUGUAAAGAUCUGUCCUAUGGGACGAAAAAAAUGACGGUACCAUAGGAGGAAGCCCCGGCUAACUACGUGCCAGCAGCCGCGGUAAUACGUAGGGGGCGAGCGUUGUCCGGAAUUACUGGGCGUAAAGGGUGCGUAGGCGGCGCCGUAAGUCAGAUGUGAAAUAUCCAUGCUUAACGUGGAGGGUGCAUUUGAAACUGGGGCGCUUGAGUGCAGGAGAGGAAAGUGGAAUUCCUAGUGUAGCGGUGAAAUGCGUAGAUAUUAGGAGGAACACCAGUGGCGAAGGCGACUUUCUGGACUGUAACUGACGCUGAGGCACGAAAGCGUGGGUAGCAAACAGG